GAGUUUGAUCCUGGCUCAGGACGAACGCUGGCGGCGUGCUUAACAUAUGCAAGUCACGGGGGCCCGCAAGGGCAACCGGCGAACGGGUGCGUAACACGUGAGCAAGCUUCCGAUUUGUGGGGGAUAGCCGGCCUAACGGCCGGGUAAUACCGCAUACGUUCACUGGGCGGCACCGUCUGGUGAGGAAACCUCCGGGGCAAAUCGAGGCGCUCGCGGCCUAUCAGCUAGUUGGCGGGGUAAUGGCCCACCAAGGCGACGACGGGUAGCUGGUCUGAGAGGAUGGCCAGCCACAUUGGGACUGCGACACGGCCCAGACUCCUACGGGAGGCAGCAGUGGGGAAUAUUGCGCAAUGGACGAAAGUCUGACGCAGCGACGCCGCGUGUGGGAUGAAGCUCUUCGGGGGUGUAAACCACUGUUGCCCCGGGACGAAAUGCCCUUUCGAGGGAAUUGACGGUACCGGGUGAGGAAGCACCGGCUAACUCUGUGCCAGCCGCCGCGGUAAC
rnacentral:rRNA from 1 species